AACGAACGCUGGCGGCGUGCCUAACACAUGCAAGUCGAACGAGAAAGGGGCUUCGGCUCCGAGUAAAGUGGCGCACGGGUGAGUAACACGUGGGUAACCUGCCUCUAAGAUUGGGAUAACCCGUCGAAAGAUGGGCUAGUACCGGAUAAGACCACAGUCCUCGCGGGGACAGAGGUUAAAGGUAGCCUCUAUUUAUAAGCUAUCACUUAGAGAUGGGCCUGCGCACCAUUAGCUAGUUGGUAGGGUAACGGCCUACCAAGGCAAAGAUGGUUAGCUGGUCUGAGAGGAUGAUCAGCCAAACUGGAACUGAGACACGGUCCAGACUCCUACGGGAGGCAGCAGUGGGGAAUAUUGCGCAAUGGGCGAAAGCCUGACGCAGCAACGCCGCGUGAGUGAUGAAGGCCCUUGGGUCGUAAAGCUCUGUUGUUAGAGAAGAACAAGGAUGAGAGUAAAAUGUUCAUCCCUUGACGGUAUCUAACCAGAAAGCCACGGCUAACUACGUGCCAGCCGCCGCCGUAAUAC
rnacentral:rRNA from 1 species